rnacentral:misc_RNA from 1 species
UGUGGGGCUGGUCUCAUCAUUGAUUUCAACAGAGGUUGCUCAGCAGAGAUUUCAGCACUUGCUAAUUUGGUUGCUUUGCCAAUUUUUUACCCAGUUAAAACAAGCUUGAUUUAUAAAGAUCCCAAGCCAUGUUCCUACCUUCUUCAUUGGUUUAAAAAAUCAUCUGUGUCCUGCCAUUCUUUAUCAGACAGUAAUUUGAUGCACUUACACCACGAGGUAUUAUUCACAGUUGA